rnacentral:lncRNA from 1 species
UUGUGGCCCUUUAAUUUUUCAGCGCAAUCAAUUUCCCAAGCGGAGACUAACCGGCUUCGAAACGCAGGCUGUGCGCCACUGUUGUAUCUCGGAAGCACAACUGCUAAAAGGAUGCAGCACGAUGGCUACACCGCGAGCUGCAACAGACUCACGCCAUGAAAAGAGCUAUUAUUCCUUGCCGAGCUCCCACUUACCAGCCGGCUGGCGCACAGGAGGGGAUGGGUCAGUCGGUCCUCUCUCAGCGCAACCACAGCGCGCCGAUUUCAACAUAGCUUGCACUAAGGAGUUCAUCACAGCAGCACACGCGCGCAACGCGGUAUUCGGAGGGUGAUCUCUGCUAGCCGGGAGCCCCUCGGGGCCCCCUAACCCGGCACGACCUCUUCUCCCGUGAUCCCUGAUGCAGUCAGUCUGUUUGGCCUCCAGUCCACUUAUUUAGCGGGGUUCCUGAAGUGGUUUUCCGCUUCCCGUUGGACCUUUGUUGCCUGCAGCCUUUGCUAAUGACCCGUUGCGGGUGCACAUGUCCUUGCUGCAGCUCUUACUUGCCGGUCCUUAUCCCCGUGGUUUCCCCCGCACAGCACAACACCACGAGGAUCCUAAGCUGGCGCAAGCUCAGCAGGUGUCAAUGGCCUACUUGACACGACGUGACGUGGGUUGGAAAAAUGUUGUUGCAUGGCAUGGCGUGGGGGGUGGGGGUGGUGUUGGACGCAUCACUCGGUUUCCUUUUUUUCCUAGGACGCGAUGCGGCACGGACGUCGACAUGAUCACAUAUCAACGAUCAUAUGGUUGCGGCAACUCCCCUCGGCACGGCGACUGCGGCUGCGGUUGCUGGAGUGGUAGGAUCGCCCUGGAGGACGCACAGACAAAUUGAGGAAGGGAAGCUGAGAAGGCACCACAGGGGGGUGGGGGCCGGGAAAUGGAGCCCAUAUUGAAUGGGGCCAAGAAUAUCCGCACCGCGUGAUUUUGAUGAACUAAAGUUUCCCUUUGGGAGAAGAACGAUUAAGAAAAGGACGGGAUAGCGAUCGACGGGGCAGGCACGGGAGCAUUGCUGUUAAACACAACGGCCUGAAUGUGAUGACGCUUUGCGGGGACCAGCAGUCCAUGGGGCUUUGGUGGUAACGGCGCAAGGUAAACGCACGAUAGCUAGGCGAAUAGGUAACCACGCGGACGGGGUAUCAUGAGAACGAAAUCGCACAAAGAAGUCUGAUGUUAAAAUAUACCGCGCACUGUGUCAGCUUUGACUUACAUCCAUACUCUUCCUCCUCUUAGGUAGUGCUAGCUCCGAAGAGCACCACAAAUAAUUCUACCCGCGGUACAUAUUUACUCUGUAUUUCUGCUUCUGAGUUCUAUCCGCGCCGACUGACGUAGACUUUGACCUAGACCGACCUAUAAGCAGACGUGGAGACGGACAAACAGACUGGCGAGCUCCAUGUUUGGCAGGUUUUAAAUCUUUUCUAAGACGCGCCCCGCUGCAAGAGCUGUAGCGGGUAUGUAGCAGCCAUAUGCAAAGCCGCACUCAUCGCGGAUUUAAGGAAAAAGAUUAUGCCAUUUUUUAAGAAGAGUUAAGUUAGUAUAUAUGUGUGGAGCGGCCGCAUGUAUGCUAAGGAACAUAUGGAAAGGGACAGCGUGGAAAGUGCAACGAAAGAGCCGCGGUGCUGGCCCAGAAAGCAACCGCCGGAGGAGCGAAAGCAACUACCGUUUCCCCAGCGGAUCAGCAGCCUGCUACAAUCUGUAGUAGUGUAGUAGUAGCACGAACACAACCACACAACAAAGGACAGAACCUGGAGUUGCGGAAAUUUACGUGGUGGCUGGGGAACCGAAAGGCGCAGCUGCUUGAAGCAUGCUUAUGGCGAACAAUGGCGAGGCGGCGGCGAAGAGGCAGCGACGUGAAACGCUCCCCUCCGCCAUCCAGAUGGCAGAAAAGUCAGGCUGAUUAACCAAUCAUCAACUUAGCCAGCAAAGAAGCGCAAAAUAACUAAAGAUCCAAAUCGGAACAUAUCAUUCCUGCGCGCGCACACACACAUGUGGGGACUAUAGCGGUGACGGUCCUUGGCCGUUGUUGUUGCUGCUGCUGCGGCGGCUCCUGCUGUCACCUGCGACAGACGCCGGCCGCCUGCUCUUAUCGCUGCUCUCCUUCCUUUCAAUAGUUUCACCUCCCUCCUUCGCUGCCCACGCAAAAUGGCUUGCCAGGAUAUGCUCCACGCUCUGCAUUGCCACCGACCUGCAGCCCAUCCCCCCUUCAGGUCCACGUCGACGAGCUUCUCGUUCGCAAACCCACACAUCCCCAAUGGGUGCGAUAACCAGGCGCUUGGGCUGGCACCGAACUCCGUAUCCCCAUCCCCAACCCCCAAUCCACCACUACACACGCGCCGGGCAUCCCCUAACAUGUACAUGUCCAGCAAAUCCUCUGCAACAAAAACUGCACGGGGCUGCCAGUGC